rnacentral:rRNA from 1 species
GAUGAACGCUGGCGGCGUGCCUAAUACAUGCAAGUCGAGCGAACAGACGAGGAGCUUGCUCCUCUGAUGUUAGCGGCGGACGGGUGAGUAACACGUGGAUAACCUACCUAUAAGACUGGGAUAACUUCGGGAAACCGGAGCUAAUACCGGAUAACAUGUUGAACCGCAUGGUUCAACAGUGAAAGACGGUCUUGCUGUCACUUAUAGAUGGAUCCGCGCCGCAUUAGCUAGUUGGUAAGGUAACGGCUUACCAAGGCAACGAUGCGUAGCCGACCUGAGAGGGUGAUCGGCCACACCGGAACUGAGACACGGUCCAGACUCCUACGGGAGGCAGCAGUAGGGAAUCUUCCGCAAUGGGCGAAAGCCUGACGGAGCAACGCCGCGUGAGUGAAGAAGGUCUUCGGAUCGUAAAACUCUGUUAUUAGGGAAGAACAAAUGUGUAAGUAACUAUGCACGUCUUGACGGUACCAAUCAGAAAGCCACGGCUAACUACGUG